rnacentral:rRNA from 1 species
UCAACCUGGUUGAUCCUGCCAGUAGUGAUAUGCUUGUCUCAAAGAUUAAGCCAUGCAUGUCUGAGUACAGACCGAUCUAAGGUGAAACCGCGAAUGGCUCAUUAAAUCAGUCAUAAUUCCUUGGAUAGUGACAAACUUCCUCGGAUAACUGUGGAAAAUCCAGAGCUAAUACGUGCAACUGAGCUCCGACCUCGGCGUGAGCCUUGGGAAGAGCGCAUUUAUUAGAUUCAAAACUGACCGUCGUAUUCCUCCGGGAUGCGACGUUUGUCGAYAGUUUGAUGAUUCCGGAUAACUUAGCCGAGCGCUACGGUCUUCGUACCGGCGCCGUAUCUUUCAAGUGUCUGCCUUAUCAGCUUUCGAUUGUAGGUUAAACGCCUACAAUGGCUGUAACGGGUAACGGGGAAUCAGGGUUCGAUUCCGGAGAGGGAGCCUGAGAAACGGCUACCACAUCUAAGGAAGGCAGCAGGCACGCAAAUUACCCACUCCCAGCCCGGGGAGGUAGUGACGAAAAAUAACGAUGCGAGACUCUUCCGAGGCCUCGCAAUCGGAAUGAGUCCAUUUUAAAUCCUUGGACGAGGAUCCAUUGGAGGGCAAGUCUGGUGCCAGCAGCCGCGGUAAUUCCAGCUCCAAUAGCGUAUAUUAAAGUUGCUGCGGUUAAAAAGCUCGUAGUUGGACUUCCUAGAUCCAACUCGCUGACGAGUCGCUCGUUGACUUAACGUCUCGUGCAGUUACCGAACGACGUUCGGGCGUCGUUAUAAUAUUAGCGCGGUGUUCCUUUCCUCCGGGAGAGUUCAGGCCCGCUUCUUUAUCAUCGGCGCUCACGAAGUUUGGCGGACGGCGAGUAGCGUCGUCUUCGAGUAUCGCUCGUCAGCGUUUGGUACAAUUAAAAUUUUGUCGGCUCGCUCGGAGUGCUCUUUACCGAGUGUUCCAGGGUGGCCGUCACGUUCACUUUGAAAAAAUUAGAGUGCUUAAAGCGGGCUCAUACGUGGCCUGAAUGUCUGUGCAUGGAAUGAAGUAACAGGACCUCGUUUCUGUUGUUUUUGUCGGUUUUAUUGAACCGAGGUAAUGAUUAAAAGGGACAGACGGUGGCAUUAGUAUUGUGGCGCUAGAGGUGAAAUUCUUGGACCGCUGCAAGACUAACUACUGCGAAAGCAUUUGCCGAGAAUGUUUUCAUUAAUCAAGAACGAAAGUUAGAGGAUCGAAGGCGAUCAGAUACCGCCCUAGUUCUAACCCUAAACUAUGCUAACUAGCGAUCCGCCGGAGUCAUUCCCACGACCCGGCGGGAAGCCCCAGGGAAACCAAAGUCUUUGAGUUCCGGGGGAAGUAUGGUUGCAAAGCUGAAACUUAAAGGAAUUGACGGAAGGGCACCACCAGGAGUGGAGCCUGCGGCUUAAUUUGACUCAACACGGGAAACCUCACCAGGCCCGGACAUCAGUAGGAUUGACAGGUUGAGAGCUCUUUCUCGAUUUGAUGGGUGGUGGUGCAUGGCCGUUCUUAGUUGGUGGAGUGAUCUGUCUGGUUGAUUCCGAUAACGAACGAGACUCUACCCUACUAACUAGUCGGCGGAUCGUAACCCUGAGAUGGUUAGUUUGUCGGAUUUCGGUUUGUCCGAGACGAAAGUUGUCUUGCGUGCGUGGGCUCGUUACAUAGGGAUUCGUUCCGACUGUGCGAGUUUCGCGUCGCUCGCGGCCUCGUCGAAGCUACCGUCUGAUGACUGCUACUGCUGGGGGCGUCCGUCGCAAUAUAUCUUCUUAGAGGGAUCAGCGGCGUAUAGCCGCACGAGAAAGAGCAAUAACAGGUCUGUGAUGCCCUUAGAUGUUCUGGGCCGCACGCGCGCUACAAUGUAGAGACCAGCGUGCUUUCCCUCUCCGAAAGGAGCGGGUAACCCGUUGAAACCCCUACCCGAUUGGGAUUGGGGAUUGCAAAUAUUUCCCAUGAACGAGGAAUUCCCAGUAAUCGCGAAUCAUUAAUUCGCGAUGAUUACGUCCCUGCCCUUUGUACACACCGCCCGUCGCUACUACCGAUUGAAUGAUUCAGUGAGGGCAUCGGACUGUCGCCUUCGGUUUAGUAACAUAAACCUUAGGCUGACGGAAAGAUGUCCGAACUUGAUCAUUUAGAGGAAGUAAAAGUCGUAACAAGGUUUCCGUAGGUGAACCUGCGGAAGGAUCAA